UACGUAGGGGGCUAGCGUUGUUCGGAUUCAUUGGGCGUAAAGGGUGCGUAGGCGGCGCGGUAAGUCGGGUGUGAAAUCUUGGAGCUUAACUCCGAAACUGCAUUCGAUACUGCCGUGCUUGAGGACUGGAGAGGAGACUGGAAUUUACGGUGUAGCGGUGAAAUGCGUAGAUAUCGUAAGGAAGACCAGUGGCGAAGGCGGGUCUCUGGACAGUUCCUGACGCUGAGGCACGAAGGCCAGGGGAGCAAACGGG
rnacentral:rRNA from 1 species